rnacentral:lncRNA from 1 species
GUCACCCUAAUGAUCAUGUUUAUCUAUUAGUUAUAUUUGGGUACACAAAAGCUAAAAUAUUCUUAUGACGCUAUUCGACAGACUAUAUUGUACAGGAAGUAUACUUAUUUAUUUAUUAUUAUUUAGAUUAGGGCAUAUUCUUUUGUUCUGUCAUCUUUAAAUAUAGUUUCUUAAUAUAGAAGAACAUAUUCAAAUCUAUUCUCUAUCCAUUUAUGGUGUUACACUACACUACUUUUUCGUUGCAAUUGAGGGGACCAGAUGCUAAGCGGUACAAGUGACAAAAUAUUGAAAAAUGAGUUAAGCGCAUAAAAUAAUACUAGAUAGUAGUAAAAAUUUAGUGACAAAGAGAUACAUUUGAAUUAAACUACUGGUGGCGAUAUAUCGCAAGUUCUAGUUUGACUACUUACAAAAUAUUCGAAAAGAGUUGGUGGCAAACCGGUGUAACUACAUUUGUAUCUGUUUGUCUGUAAGGUGUUGGAUAUUAUUUUUAGUGAAUCAUUUAGCAUCUUUGUAAAUGGUGCUCCUAAAAACUGUCCAAAAUGAGUGAAAUAAUAACACAAAAUGUACCAAGUAAUUUUUCAUAAAUAAAAACGUUUAAUUUUUACGUAAUUUUUCUUUUAUUUUAGUUUAAGAAUUUAAGAAAUUCGUAAGGUACUUAAGUGGCAAAGAGAAACAAGUGCAAAAUUUGAAGCAGAGAGGUACAAGUGCGAACAUUUCUUUCCAAAUUCCAAAUAUUUUGAAUGAAAAUAAAUACUAACUUUACAAAAGCUUUUACAAUUAGAUAAAUAAAAGGUAUAAAAUUAAUUCAAAAUAAGUCCAUAAGUGAUUAAUUCGUUGUAGAAUUUACUAUGUAGAUUUAACUUUGACUUCGUUUCUCUCAAUUAAACUAUGUAUUUUGUCACUUGUACCCCUUAGCAUCUAAUUUCCUCAAUUAUGUUCGUUAACGAAACGAAGAAUUUCACCUACAUCUAGAAUAAAACACGUACAAUUUUUAGUUGAAUCUAAAUUGUUUUUCUGAAAUGUGAAAAUGUCUAAUUCUCAGCGAAAUUUUUGAUCCCAAUAUACGCAAUUCCUUAAUAAUAUUCCUCCAACAUUCAGAAAAGGGUACGGGAAUAUUUUUAGCCUAGGUUAAGAUUAUUACUCUAAAACUGUUUGGGAAACACUGGGUAAAACAUUAGGAAGUAAGAAUUAUCAUGAUUUCCGUUCCGUCACACUCAAGAGACCGGUACCAACAAAAACAAAAAUCAGAGUGGAGGAGGAGUGGAGUGGAGAAGGACUAAAUAUGAAAUCCACGGAAUACUUAUACAGAAAAAGAAAUCAGAGAAAUUACUGAGAAUUAAAUAUUAGAACACGCUAAUAUCGAGUAAAGCUGGGAAAACUCAAAAAUACCAUAAUUAACACAGCAACAGAAGUACUUGGAGUGAAGGAUGUAACAAACACUAACAUAUCAAAAAAGAAAACCCGAUGAUUUAGAAAGGAAGUGAAGAGAAAAUGUGAGGAAAAGAAGAAACCCUGUUUACAAUACAGAAUACAACAAACACAACAGGCAUACAACCACUAUAAACGAAUCAGAAAUGAAACGAAUCCUUUAGCCAGAAAAAUAAAAAAGGGAACACUAGGAGAGAUUCUCAAAACAUCUGGAUCACUACUUCUACGGAACACAAAGAGAAAUAUUGAGAAUGGGCAUAGGAAAAUGAAAAGAGAUGAAUGAACUAAUAAAAACGAGACACAUUCUGAAGAAAAUAUGGGCAGACUACCUUCGAUACCUAUUUACUAAAUAUAACGAUAAUUCAUCACCACCAGAAGUGACGACAAACGAAGAAAUAAACAUUGAGGAGAGAGAGAGAGAGGUAAAGGAAGGGGACGACAAAAUACCAAACGAACUGAACCAAAUUAAAGGACGUUCUACAUUUAUUGUACAAAAAUAAAAAUAAAAGUA